GGAGAACAUGAAAACUCUGUAGAUACAGUGACCAAGGAAUAGUCGAGCAAAGACUCUAAGGCAGCAAUGUCUGCCAUCAACGUAAAUAAAUCAUACAAGCUGUGGCCGAGUGCGGUAAUGAAACCUCGGGACUGUAGCAAGAAAUUUUGAGGUCGUCCCUUUCAUUUGUCCGAGGACAAAAAAUGAAAACAGAACUGAAAAUAACGCUCGUUAGUGCGCAUCCAUUGUGCAGGAAUUCAAAAAGAGGACUGAGGGAAAGGUUCCAUGUAGUUUCAGUGGAGCUCCAUCUCGUGGGUUGCUCACGCGCCAAAAGUGACCCCUUCUUCUGGGACACCCGGGACUUUAUGGUGACAAGAGUGGAAGGGCGGGGGCUAAAUAACUUCUCCAGAUGGCUUCUCACCACUGUGGGAAAAGAAGAAGAUGACAGUGUCAUAUCUGAACAUAGACCCUAAGGCAACAAUGUCCGCCACCAGCGUAAAUAAAUCAUAGACGCUGUGGCCGGGUGUGGCAAUGACAGCUCGGGACUGUAGCAAGAAAUUUUGGGGUCAUCCCUUUCAUUUGUUCGAGGACAUAAAAUAAAUGAAAACAGAACUCAAAACAGCGCUCGUUGGUGUGCGCCCGCCUUGCAGGAAUUCAAAAGGAGGAUUUAGGGAAAAGUUCUGUGUAGUUUCAGAGGAGCUCCGUCUUGCGGGUUGCUCA